rnacentral:rRNA from 1 species
UACGGGGGGGGGCAAGCGUUGUUCGGAAUUACUGGGCGUAAAGGGCGCGUAGGCGGCCUUCUAAGUCGAACGUGAAAUCCCUGGGCUCAACCCAGGAACUGCGUCCGAUACUGGAAGGCUUGAAUCCGGGAGAGGGAUGCAGAAUUCCAGGUGUAGCGGUGAAAUGCGUAGAUAUCUGGAGGAAUACCGGUGGCGAAGGCGGCAUCCUGGACCGGCAUUGACGCUGAGGAGCGAAAGCCAGGGGAGCAAACGGG